CCUACGGGUGAGCUGCAGUGAGGAAUAUUGGUCAAUGGGCGGAAGCCUGAACCAGCCCAGUAGCGUGCGGGAUGAAGGCCCUACGGGUCGUAAACCGCUUUUGCACGGGGUUAACACCCUCCUCUAGUGGAGGUCUGCAGGUCCCGUUCGAAUAAGGUCCGCCUAAUUCGUUGCCAGCCGCCGCGGUAAUACGGAAGGACCGCGCGUAUUCUGGAUUCUUUGGGCGUAAGGGGAGCGUGGGCGAGCGUUCAAGUCAGCUGUAAAAUCGCGCGGCUCAACCGCGCCCCGCAGUUGAAACUGGGCGCCUUGAGUUCACAACAGGCAGGCGGAAUUCGUGGUGUAGCGGUGAAAUGCAUAGAUAUCACGAGGAACCCCGAUUGCGAAGGCAGCCUGCCGGGGUGCGACUGACGCUGAGGCUCGAAGGUGCGGGUAUCAAACAGGAUUAGAUACCCGAGUAGUC
rnacentral:rRNA from 1 species